AGAGUUUGAUCAUGGCUCAGAAUGAACGCUGGCGGCGUGCUUAACACAUGCAAGUCGAACGAUGAAUCCUAGCUUGCUAGGAGGAUUAGUGGCGCACGGGUGAGUAAUAUAUAGGUAACGUGCCUCUUAGUCUGGGAUAGCCAUUGGAAACGAUGAUUAAUACUGGAUACUCCUUCUCUUUAUAAUGAGAGUUGGGAAAGUUUUUCGCUAAGAGAUCGGCCUAUUUCCCAUCAGGCAGUUGGUAGUGUAAGAGACUACCAAGCCAAUGACGGGUAGCGGGUUUGAGAGGAUGAUCCGCCACACUGGUACUGAGACACGGACCAGACUCCUACGGGAGGCAGCAGUGAGGAAUAUUGCACAAUGGAGGAAACUCUGAUGCAGCAACGCCGCGUGGAGGAUGACGCAUUUCGGUGUGUAAACUCCUUUUACGAGUCAAGAAAAUGACGGUAGCUCGUGAAUAAGCACCGGCUGACUCCGUGCCAGCAGCCGCGGUAAUACGGAGGGUGCAAGCGUUAUUCGGAAUCACUGGGCGUAAAGGACGCGUAGGCGGGAAGCCAAGUCUGAUGUGAAAUCCUAUGGCUCAACCAUAGAACUGCAUUGGAAACUGGUUACCUAGAGUAUGGGAGGGGGAGAUGGAAUUAGUGGUGUAGG
rnacentral:rRNA from 1 species